rnacentral:lncRNA from 1 species
UAGCGUAUAAGCUAUAAGUAUGUUUGGCUGUAUCAAACAGAGCCAUAAUUUAUUCUGAAAAGUCAUAUAUGGGACAUCUUUGUGGCUGAUAAUUAGUUAAAACUUUGAUAAAUUUGGCGGUUGAAUGGUGCGGUAUUGAGCAAAAGCUGCUUAAUUGAGAGAAGGGUUUGAUAACAAAAUCAACAGCAUUGUCCAUCCUGUGUGGCUUUUCACUCCACCUCACCUAGAGGUACACCUCACCAACAACAAUGAAAUGUAAAAACCAUAUUGCUCUAGCACCUUUUAUUGCCAGCAUGUAUCACCAACUUUACUUUGUUUUUCAGUAAGAUAAAGAAAAGGCUUAGUUACAAUUAUAGUUUUCUUUUCUUUUUACUUAAUUAUAAUUAGCACCUUUUAUUGCCAGCAUGUAUCACCAACUUUACUUUGUUUUUCAGUAAGAUAAAGAAAAGG